UACGGAGGGUGCGAGCGUUAUCCGGAUUCACUGGGUUUAAAGGGUGCGUAGGUGGGAAUGUAAGUCAGUGGUGAAAUCUCUGAGCUUAACUCAGAAACUGCCAUUGAUACUAUGUUUCUUGAAUUUUCUGGAGGUCAGCGGAAUAUGUCAUGUAGCGGUGAAAUGCUUAGAUAUGACAUAGAACACCAAUUGCGAAGGCAGCUGGCUACAGGGAUAUUGACACUGAGGCACGAAAGCGUGGGGAGCGAGCAGG
rnacentral:rRNA from 1 species